rnacentral:rRNA from 1 species
UACGUAGGUGGCAAGCGUUAUCCGGAAUUAUUGGGCGUAAAGAGCGCGCAGGUGGUUGAUUAAGUCUGAUGUGAAAGCCCACGGCUUAACCGUGGAGGGUCAUUGGAAACUGGUCGACUUGAGUGCAGAAGAGGGAAGUGGAAUUCCAUGUGUAGCGGUGAAAUGCGUAGAGAUAUGGAGGAACACCAGUGGCGAAGGCGACUCUCUGGUCUGUAACUGACGCUGAGGCUCGAAAGCGUGGGGAGCAAACAGGAUUAGAUA